rnacentral:rRNA from 1 species
CHCCGGAGCCWCAAGUGGCAAYCRCCUUUAUUGGGCCUAAAGCGUCCGUAGCCGGUUUAGUAAAUUUUCUGUGAAAUYGUUSUGCUUAACSCAACGGCGUGCAGGAGACACUGCUUGACUUGGGAYCGGGAGGAGUCAGAGGUAUUUUGGGGGGAGCGGUAAAAUGCUAUAAUCCCCGGAGGACCACCUGUGGCGAAGGCGUCUGACUAGAACGRAUYCGACGGUGAGGGACGAAAGCUAGGGGAGCAAUCCGGAUUAGAUACCCGAGUAGUCCYAGCUGUAAACUCUGCGAGCUAGGUGUUGCGCAKUCUUCGGGAUUGUCKSGUGUCGUAGUGAAGAUGUUAAGCUCGCCGCCUGGGAAGUACGGUCGCAAGACUGAAACUUAA